rnacentral:lncRNA from 1 species
AAAAUCAUGUAUCCUAUACACUAAAAUGUAAACAGAUAUACCCCAACCCUAUGGCCAAGACCCAAUACUGCAAAACUAACAGACAGAAAAUUAUAAAUAAAAAAUUCUCAACUCUGAUCCCUUAAAUCUUGAGGCCUUAAAUACCAAAAACCCUGGACAGUUUUAUAGUAUGCUAAACUGAAAUUCUAAUCCCAAAACCCUAGAUGUUAAACUAUAAAACUGAAUGGCUCCAAACCUUAGCCAAAACCCAAUACUCCACAAACAUACAAAACUAUAAAGGAGCAUAGACAAAACAAUCAAAAGGAGGGCAAGAGAGAGGCGAGGGAAAAACUAGCUAGUUGGAGAAAAGUCCAAUGUGAAGAGAAAACAAAAACUAGAAAGCAAGAAAGAAAUUUAGAGCACAAAAAUAGAUACACGAAAGGUUAAGAAUGUGGAUAAAUUAAGAAAGCAUAGAGAGGAAGUGGAGGAAAGGGAAAAACAAGAUAGAAAUGAAAGACAAAGAACACUUUCCAUAUGUCACUUGAGGAAAAAUUGCAAAAGAGAAUGAGAAAUUCAC